AGGCCACUGGUGCUUUUUGCUAAGAUCAAGUGCAGUAUCUGUUCUUAUAAGUUUAAUAUCUGAUACGCCCCCUAUAUGAGGGCCAUAUAUUAAAUGGAUUUUUAGAACAGGGUGAUGGGAAAAGAGCUUGCUCUGUCCACCCCACGCUUUGACCAAGUCUUGCAGCACUUCCAGGACCUGCAUACCAUUC